AUUAUUCCAAAGACAUAUUAUUACACCAGACAGACAGAAAUAUUAGACCAGUAUAAUACUUUUGUCUAUAGCUAGUCUCAAAUCAAACACUUAAGCACUACAUCAGACUAUUUUGUUUUAGAAUUUUAAAAAUCUCACGUCGCUCGCUGUAAGCUCUGGGUUACAUUCCAUUCUUCUAGCUUCUUGUAGAUACUUUUAAGUGAUUUGAGAUGCAGUUCAUGAUAACAAUCACAAAGAUGGCCGAAAGCGCUGAAAAGAAAUGGAGCUUGUCGAAGCAUGAAAUCGGUUACAGUUCCACACAAAUGUACUGGUUUGAUGUUAACCACCAGUUGAUGUUGCUUUUAAUUAAUAACAUCACCAGAUCAGGCAUAACAUUACCUGACUAAUAUUGUGUUGGUCCCCCUUUUGCUGGCAAAACACCCCUGUAACCCAUCAUGCACUGUGUAUUCUGACACCUUUCUAUCAGAAACUUCUUCAGCAAUUUGAGCAACAGUAGCUCAUCUGUUGGAUCGGAUCACACGGGCCAGCCUUCGUUCCCCACAUGCAUCAGUGAGUCUUGACCGCUCAUGACCCUGUCACCGGUUCACCACUGUUCCUUCCUUGGACCACUUUUGGACCACUUUUGAUACUGACCACUGCAGACCGGGAACACCCCACAAGAGCUGCAGUUUUGGAGAUGCUCUGGUCCAGUCGUCUAGCCAUCACAAUUUGGUCCUUGUCAAACUCGCUUAAAUCCUUACACUUGCCCAUUUUUCCUGCUUCUGACACAUCAACUUUGAGGACAAAAUGUUCACUUGCUGCCUAAUAUAUCCCACCCACUAACAGGUGCCAUGAUGAGAUCAUCAGUGUUAUUCACGUAACCUCUCAGUGGUCAGAAUGCCUGAUCGGUGUAUAACUAUGUGAACAAUGGCGCUCACGUUACUGUUGCUACUGCUGCUGCUACUAGCAAUCAACCUCCAUGUUUACUACAUGCAGUUAAAUUUAGUUUAGUUUAUGAAUUGUUUAAAUUGCACAGAGACUGUAUUUUAUAUUAGCAGUGAAGUUCUGGGUUUUGUGCUUUUGUAAAUUCAUCCAGCGUCGCUUCAAGAAACAUUCAUCGUUCAUUCUUAAGCACUAUUUCACUUCCUUUGGUUUCACAAAACAGGCAACAGUUGACUAAUGCCUCUCUACAGCUCGAUGCGUCAGUGCUCUUGAUGAUGACACAGCUGUUAGAAAGAGCGAUGUUGGUGCUCUCGUACAGAGGUGAUCCUGUACAGAUGUUGCAGUAGUCGUCGGAUUCAUUAAUCUUCACUAAACUGCUUCUUUUCCAUCAGGGUCAUAGUGAAUAGCUCACACAGCUGCUUCCUCAUCCAUCAAUCUCUCCUUUUUAAGGCCAAGCAGGAAAGCAUGCCGGAAAUCCUCCGUAUCGAACCGGACAGAUCCUUCAAGGAAGCAGCGAUGCGUCUGGGGCGAGAGAGCAGGAGGCAGAAAGGAGGCUGUAGGGAGUCUGUCUGUUCUGCAGUAGUGGUGGAACUUUUCUCUGCACUGCAGCUGAUAUUUCCUUUUGUUCGCUGAACUGAGCGCUGAACAUAUUUGUCCUAUUUUGGUGCGUGACGUCGUUACUCGGGAAUAUGACGAGCUGCUGUUUUGUCUUAUUAACUUCAGAGCUGCAAGCAGCAAUUAUCAGGGUUCAAGCUCUUUAAGAACUUUAAAUGCAUGUAUAACAGAUAUCGUAUAUUAUUUGUAAGCAUCAAGACAAUGACGCUUUCUGGGUUUUGUAACUAUACUCUGAUGCGUUCGUAAACUACAGCUUCACAAUUCAAAAUGGCCGACGCCCACAAUGGUAAAACUGGAUAACAAUAAAAUUGGUAUACUUUACUGAAGCUAAAGAUACUAGUUUCAUGUGAGUUAUAGACAGGUUGUAAGGAAAAAGAGCAAUUUUUCAUAUCUCAUGACCGGGAAAAACUCUGAGACAUCAUGAGGAAGAAACAUUGAGAGGAACCAGACUCAAAAGAGAAACUAUUCUCAUCUGCAUGACACCGGAUAGUGCUUUCAAUAAUUUCAGUUAUUGAAGUUAUCAGCUGAUCACUCAUAGAGACUCGAGUGCUAAACUGUAGCAGCUGUAGUCCCGAGCCCUCUUCAUGGUUAAGUGGUACACCUACAGUCAUCUAAUGUAUCUUUAAGCUGUCCAGGUGAGGCCAUCUUCAGCAGCAGCCACUGGUUUCCAUGUGCUGAGACUCCAACAAGAAGUAGGGCAGCAGGAUGGAGGCAGCAGUUCCAGAAAACAGAGGAUCAGGGUCAGGAUCACUGGUAGCUCAGGAGGAGUGUGUGUAGUUGAAGGAAAGAGAGAGAGAAAAAGAAGUUAAAAAAAAGACAGACAGAAGGAAGGAAAGACAGACAGAAAUGAAGAAAAAGACGGAAGGAAAGACGGUCAGAAGAAAAGAUAGAAAGUCAGAAGUAAGGAGAGAGAACAGUAACUAAGUAAGUCUGUAAGUAACAGACAGACGGAAGGAAAGACAGACAGACGGAAAGAAAGAGACAGAAGAAAAGAAAAAGUCAGAAGGAAAGACAGACGGAAGGAAAGACAGACAGAGGGAAAGAAAGAGACAGACAGAUGGAAAGACAAACAGAGGGAAAGAGACAGACAGACGGAAGAAAAGAAAAAGUCAGAAGGAAAGACAGACAGACAGACGGAAGGAAAGACAGACGGAAGGACAGACAAACAGAGGGAAAGAGACAGACAGACGGAAGAAAAGAAAAAGUCAGAAGGACAGACAGACAGACAGACAGACGGAAGGAAAGACAGACGGAAGGACAGACAGACAGACAGACGGAAGGACAGACAGACAGACAGACGGAAGGAAAGACAGACAGACAGACGGAAGGAAAGACAGACACAGACAGACGGAAGGAAAGACAGACACAGACAGACGGAAGGAAAGACGGACAGACAGACAGACGGAAGGAAAGACGGACAGACAGACGGACAGACAGACAGACGGGCGGAAAGACGGACAGACAGACAGACGGGCGGAAAGACGGACAGACAGACAGACGGGCGGAAAGACGGACAGACAGACAGACGGGCGGAAAGACGGACAGACAGACGGACGGAAAGACACAGACAGACAGACGGACGGAAAGACAGACAGACAGACAGACGGACGGAAAGACAGACAGACAGACGGGCGGAAGGACAGACAGACAGACGGACGGACGGAAAGACACAGACAGACGGACGGACGGACGGAAAGACACAGACAGACGGACGGACGGACGGAAAGACACAGACAGACGGACGGACGGACGGAAAGACACAGACAGACAGACGGACGGACGGAAAGACACAGACGGACGGACGGAAAGACACAGACAGACAGACGGAAAGACACAGACAAUCAGGAGUAAGGAAAGACGGACGGAAAGAAGGACGGAAAGACGGAAAGAAGGACGGACGGAAAGAAGGACGGACGGACGGACGGAAAGAAGGACGGACGGAAAGAAGGACGGACGGACGGACGGAAAGAAGGACGGACGGACGGACGGACGGAAAGACGGACGGGAGGAAAGAAGGACGGAAAGAAGGACGGACGGGAGGAAAGACGGACGGAAAGAAGGACGGACGGGAGGAAAGACGGACGGGAGGAAAGACGGACGGAAAGAAGGACGGACGGGAGGAAAGACGGACGGAAAGAAGGACGGACGGAAAGAAGGACGGACGGAAAGAAGGACGGACGGAAAGAAAGAUGAACAGACAAAGAUGGACAAAAGAAAAGACAGACGGACGAUUAGACAAAGAAAGAUGGACAGAAGGAAAGAAAGAGACAAAGAUGGACAGAACGAGCGGAAGAUGGACAGAAGGAAAGAAAGAAGGGCAGAAGGAAAGACUAACUAAGGAUGAAAGACAGACAGACAGACACAGAAGGCACGAAAGAUGGACAGACAGACAAAAGGAAAGAAAGAAAUACAGACAGGUAGAAGGAAAGAAAGACACUGAAUACUCUGACUUUCAACUUUAAAGUACUUAAUUAUCCAUGAGCCUGUGACAGGAAAUAAUUAAUCCAUAAUAAUAAUAAAAAUAUUAAUAAAUAAUACUCAGUCCUCAGUAAAGGUCCAGGAUAGUACACACAUGAGAUUUAAGACAUGAUGUUCUUCCAGUCUUCAGACCCGUGCUGUUCUGUUCCUCCUCCUCCUCCUCCUCCUCCUCGCUGUGUGCUGGUAUGCAGCGCUUUCAUUCCCGAGGACGGAUCCAACAGCAAGUAUAAACUCAGCCUUAAGAGAGAGGAGAGACAUCAGGUGUGUCAGAGGUGCAGUUAUUGGAAAAGUUAUUUGAAGUCAUUUAUUAGCAGAGCGUCAGAACCCUGUCCCACUUCAGACGGAAAAAUAAAAAAAUCUCUAUUAUAAACUAUUACUGAAAGAAUCCAAGCCAAGCGUCUCAGGAUACGAUUGAUGAUGGAAGAGAAAAUGGUGCUUAUUAGAUAAUCUCUGUUAUUUAUAGAGACAGCAGUGCAAUAUAUAUUUUUUAAUCAGUUUAUAUAUUUUUUUUUUAUAUUUUGACAGGUAUGAUUUGAUCUCUUUAUUUAUUUAUUUUAUUUUAGGCGGGAAAUCAUGAGUCUCUGUAAAACUGUCUUGAUGCACUAGAUGAAAUCUCUUGGUCCUCUUUAUGUAGCCCUAAGGCUGUGCAAAUGCAAACCCUGAUCAUCAUUAAUCAUCGCAAUUACUUAAGGAAUUUACGCAUGGAAAAAAUUAGUACUUUUUUAUUUUUUUUAAACAUGAUUCAACUACAAUUACGGCCUCGCAAGCACCGACACGCGCUGUAACGUUUCCAGACUUUUCCUGUCCUCAUAAGGAGACUAGAGUAGUGAUGACAUGCUUAUUCAUAGCACUGGAGAAAUCUGCCUACUUUGUAAAUUAGCGCUGUGUGUGUGUCAGUCUUCAGGAAUGUGAAAGUGGAAGGAUUGCCUUUGUAUGACCCGCUCAAAAUCUUUUAAGUAGCACUGACGAAUAACUUGGCUCAUGCCAGGACAGGAGAUUGGAGUCUCUGAUGCAUCGUAUGUACACACACUCACACACACUCAUUUCCUGUCCUCUGGACCAGCAGCAGUUUUAUUCCCCCUCACCUUAUAGGAGUGUCCAGUCAGUAUAAAUCCCUUUAAUUUGCCUUGCGGACUUUUCUUACUAAACAGCUAUGAAGCGUAAACGUCAUUCAUUAACAAAUCAAUAUGUUUAAGAAGGGGGGGGGGAACAGGCUGAACUGAAAAUAAUCAGCUCACACGACUUCAUCAUCGAUUAUUCUUCCUAAAAGAGCGCCCUCAUCAGGCUUUACUCCCUCACAUGCUUAUAACCUGGAACUGGAUCAAUAUAACAUGCUGCAGCAUGCAUGGGCUGAUAUUGUGGAAAUGAGCACUGACUUGUACAAAGACUUAUUAAUACUCCUGAACAGCUAAUUAGAUCAGAAAGGACAAAAGGAAAGAAAAGCUGACCGAAGCAAAGAAAGACGGACGGAAGGAAAGAAAGAAAGACUGGUAGCUCAGGAGUAAUGUGUAUAGCUGGAGGAGAGAGAGAGAAGUUCAGAAGACAGAAGGAAAGAAAGACUGAUAGAAGCAAGGAAGGAAAGACAGACAGAAGGAAAGAGAGAUGGACAGAAGGAAAGAGACGAACAGAGAGACGGACAGAAGAAAAGAGAGACGAACAGAGAGACGGGAAGAGACGGACAGAAAGAAAGGGAGACGGAAAGAGAGAUGGACAGAAGGAAAGGGAGACCGACAAAGACAGACAGAAGGAAAGAAAGACUGACGGAAGGACUGACCGAAGGAAAAAAGACGAACAGAAAGACAAAGAAGGAAAGAAAUACAGACAAACACAAAGAAGGAAGGAAAGAAAGAUGGACAAAGAAGGACAGAAAGAAAGAAAAAAAAAUGGAAAGAGAAAGAUGGAAAGAAAGACGGACCGAAUGAAAGAAAGAUGGACAGAAGGAUUUUUUUUUUUUUUUUUUUAAAUGUAAUUGAAUCAAUUCAAACUAUUUCAUCUGAGAUAUUUCUAUGCGACACGCGGAUCCGUGCCGAGUCGGACGCGUGGAUCUGAGUUCGACACGUGGAUCGUCUGGAUGCAUGAUUGCUUGUGGAUCACGGAUGAGGAGGGAAAAAAGAGCGAUCUUGGAAAUAGAUCAAAUAGAUUGUUGCGGCACUAUUAAAAGCUUUUAAUGUGAUAAAACGCAGCCUGAAAACCCCAUAAAACCUUAACUGUGGGGUUUAAAACCAUUUAUACGCCUUUCUCAGAUCGACCCUAGAGCCGUUUAAACCCAGAGGCUGAAUGUUGUAUUAGUGGGUCACACAGAGACUCUAACAGAACCUGACAACUUUAUUGUUCACAUCAAUCCUGCUUUUACACCAAUCCAAGAGCUGAUAUUUUUUCUUCUUCUACCUGAAAUACACUAUAUUGCCAAAAGUUUUGGGACGCCCCUCCAAAUCAUUGAAUUCUGGUGGUGUUCAGGGGUUGGGCUUGACCCCUUAGUUCCAGUGAAAGGAACUCUUAAUGCUUCAACAUACCAAGACAUUUUGGACAAUUUCAUGCUCCCAACUUUGUGGUUCCAACAUGACUGCACACCAGUGCAUAAAGCAAGGACCAUAAAGACAUGGAUGAGUAAGUUUGGUGUGGUGGAACUUGACUGACCUGCACAGAGUCCUGACCUCAACCUGAUAGAACACCUUUGGGAUGAAUUAGAGCGGAGAGUGAGCCAGGUCAAAUCUGUGAGAUGUCUGCCUUUACAUGCACAUGAAUAAAAUAUGGAGUUGUUCCAUCCUGUACAGCUUCAACUCUACUGGGAAGGCUUUAGGAGUGUGUUUAUGGCAAUUUUUGACCAUUACUCUAGAAGUGCUUCUGUGAGGUCAGUCACUGAUGUUGGACGAGAAGGUCUGGCUCGCAGUCUCCGCUUGACAACGUCCAGAUUGCUUGUUAGUGGACAUCCAUUAACAAACGCACUCUUCCUCCUCUCUUGAUGAAACACCUUUAUCGUACUGGGAGCGAUGGGUACAAAUCUGACUCCGCCCACAUCUACAGGUCAUGAGGAGGCACUGAAUGCUUUGAGUAAAUUAUUUGAGUCACUUGGCAAAGCACCCAAAAGUGCACAUGCUAGUAAUACUAGUACUGAUGAUAGUAGUACCAGUACUAGUUCUUCUUUUAAACUAGUGGUGAAAACACGUAUGUAAUAACAUUCUCAUGUAUGAAUUGUAGAGGGUGUUGGUGGAAUGUGUAGUGAUGUCACAUCCUGGCCCAAAUCUGAUGUAAAUUUGAGAAAAUUGCAAGCUCCUUUGACAAAUGCCAUUUUCUUCAAUUAAAAUCCACAAUAUUCAAUCAGCCAUCAUUUUUACCAUUACUUCUGUUCGUGUGUUCUCAAUGUUAAUGUAUUUUUUCUGAAAUAUCGUUAUCACAAGCCGCUAUAUUACACCUUCAGAAUCGGAAGGCUGAGUGCGUAUCUAUUUUUAGAGAAGGCCGUUCAUCCCCCCCGUCUCACUCCCAGACUUGUAGAGUGUGUGCCGUGGAGCACUGAAGCUUUUCCGGCGGCUCGUCGCAGCUCCACACCUUACUGAGAGCCUUUAUUUUUAAUUCAUCACCUCCGUGUAGAGGGAAUGAAAAUGACCUGACUCACAAAAGCACUCGCUUCAUACUGGACAUCACAUGGUCAUGUUCCAACUCAGUUACAUGUUCUCCUUCUGUUCUCUCUGUCUGUCUCUGUCUCUCUCACUCUGUCACUCACUCAGUUCCUGUCUCUCUCUCUGUCCGUUUUUGUCUGUCUCUCUGUCUUUGCCUCUCCUUCUCUCUCUCACUCACUCUGUCUGUCUUUUCCUCUCACUCACUCUGUCUCUCUGUCUUUGCCUCUCUCACCCACUCUGUCUCUCUGUCUUUGCCUCUCUCUUUCUCUCUCUCACUCACUCUGUCUUUGCCUCUCUCUUUCUCUCUCACUCACUCUGUCUCUGUCUUUGCCUCUCUCUUUCUCUCUCACUCACUCUGUCUCUCUGUCUUUGCCUCUCUCACCCACUCUGUCUCUCUGUCUUUGCCUCUCUCUUUCUCUCUCUCACUCACUCUGUCUUUGCCUCUCUCUUUCUCUCUCACUCACUCUGUCUCUGUCUUUGCCUCUCUCUUUCUCUCUCACUCACUCUGUCUCUCUGUCUUUGCCUCUCUCUUUCUCUCUCACCCACUCUGUCUCUGUCUUUGCCUCUCUCUUUCUCUCUCACUCACUCUGUCUCUGUCUUUGCCUCUCUCUUUCUCUCUCACUCACUCUGUCUCUGUCUUUGCCUCUCUCUUUCUCACUCACUCUGUCUGUCUUUGCCUCUCUCUUUCUCUCUCUCACUCACUCUCUGUCUUUGCCUCUCUCUUUCUCUCUCACUCACUCUGUCUCUGUCUUUGCCUCUCUCUUUCUCUCUCACUCACUCUGUCUCUGUCUUUGCCUCUCUCUUUCUCACUCACUCUGUCUGUCUUUGCCUCUCUCUUUCUCUCUCUCACUCACUCUGUCUGUCUUUGCCUCUCUCUUUCUCUCUCUCACUCACUCUGUCUCUGUCUUUUCCUCUCACUUUCUCUCUCUCACUCACUCUGUCUCUCUGUCUUUGCCUCUCUCUCUCACUCACUCUGUCUUUUCCUCUCUCUUUCUCUCUGUCACUCUGUCACUUACUGUCUCUCUGUCUGUCUCUCUUACUCACUCUGUCUCCCUCUGUCUCUCUUUCACUCUUUUUCUGUCUUUUUGUCUCUCAGACUGUCUGUCUCUCUGUCUCACGGUCAUUCUCACUCUCUCUCUCUCUCUCUCUCUCUCUCUCUCUCUCUGCAGUUUUCCUCAGGUGACAGCUCUACAGCUCUGGUGUGAAGUUGUGUGCGAGUGUCUGUCGAAUUUCUGCUGGUGCUUAACAAGUACUGAUCACACCCUUGCCUAACUUAACUAGUUAGGGGUUUUGUGUGUGUGUGUGUGUAUCUGUGUGUUUUAUACCAACGGCUGUGUGAUAGUUUGAAGUAUGUAGGUUUUUUUUUGUCAUGACUCAUGGAUUGAUUCUGCAGCUUGAUGGCAUCACAUACCGUAAUUAGAUUUCCCAGUCUAAUUGAUGCGAACAUCUGAUAUCGAAUGAUGCGAGGUGAUGUAAGCUUAGUGUAUGUUGUCAAAAUACUGAAUAGGAGACAGAGCCAUGGAAACCAAUGUUUUUUUUUUUUUUUACUAUUAACGAUGCUUAAUAUAGCAAGAAGCAAGCUUUUGUUUGAGAAUAUCAUCUUUCUAUAAUAUGAGCAACAGAUCAGUGCUCGCCGAAAGGAAGUGAUCGAGGCUCGACCCUCACCGAAGGGACAGAAGGGACUUGGAACUGGCAAAGCUGUAGUUAACCAGACUUCCCCUCACUCAGGAGCGACUAUAAACUUAAAAAUAAACUGUGUUAAUUGCUAGCAGCACACCAAGUCUUCCAUGCUGCCUCUCAUUGCUAAUCAGGUCACUGGAUAUCGACAAAUCCUAAAAGCUUGUGCUAAUGGUUCUUCCAAAAAAAAUACCAUACUGUUAUUGAUGCUUCCCUGCUUAUUAGUUUUGGCAUGACGUGUGUGAAAUAUGUAAUCCAAACCCAGAGAUAAUACGAGGCUUUAUCCUAAUUAGCGCUGCUUCAGUUGAGCUCGUCUGCAUGUUGGGAAGGAACAAGCGCUAAUGGUGCAGUGAAAAAAUUCGCACUGCCACAGGGGUACGAAUUAUUCGUUUCAUUUUGUAACAUCCCCAUAUCUUUUGGAAAGGUUUCGGUCAUUAUGUGCAUUUUUUUACAAGGCCAGAGUGUUUUUCCUCCUUCUGGUGUAUUACGUAGCCUCCAGGAAGCCUUUAGCAGCAGCUGCUCUGUGUCCCAAGAUGAACCUCCCCCUUUUUCCAGAAUGCUGAUCCAGGCUCAACUCGCAUCAACACAUCACAGCUCUCGCAGCUCGCUUCAUUAGUAUGUAAAAUGUAAAAACCUGAUCCUGGAUUAGCCCACUGGCUGUGAAAGACAUGCAGUAAUCAUGUGACCCAGAAGAUUCACUUGCUAGAUGUCUGCUGUCUCAAGGAGGGGUGUGUGCGCUGUCAUGGCUGUGAGAGCAGGAGAUAAAGACGGCAGCAAGGUGACGACGGUGGGCGCGACCCCCGGCCAAGGUCCCGAUCGGCCUCAGGAGGUCAGCUACACGGACACGAAGGUCAUCGGAAACGGCUCGUUCGGGGUGGUCUACCAGGCCAAGCU